rnacentral:rRNA from 1 species
UACGUAGGUGGCAAGCGUUAUCCGGAAUUAUUGGGCGUAAAGAGCGCGCAGGUGGUUGAUUAAGUCUGAUGUGAAAGCCCACGGCUUAACCGUGGAGGGUCAUUGGAAACUGGUCGACUUGAGUGCAGAAGAGGGAAGUGGAAUUCCAUGUGUAGCGGUGAAAUGCGUAGAGAUAUGGAGGAACACCAGUGGCGAAGGCGGCUUCCUGGUCUGUAACUGACACUGAGGCGCGAAAGCGUAGGGAGCAAACAGGAUUAGAUACCCU